rnacentral:rRNA from 1 species
CCUACGGGAGGCAGCAGUGAGGAAUAUUGGUCAAUGGGCGGAAGCCUGAACCAGCCAAGUCGCGUGAGGGAAUAAGGCCCUACGGGUCGUAAACCUCUUUUGCCGGGGAGCAAGGGCGGGGACGUGUCCCGGCCCGGAGAGUACCCGGAGAAAAAGCAUCGGCUAACUCCGUGCCAGCAGCCGCGGUAAUACGGAGGAUGCGAGCGUUAUCCGGAUUUAUUGGGUUUAAAGGGUGCGCAGGCGGCGUGUCAAGUCAGCGGUAAAAUGUCGGGGCUCAACCCCGGCCGGCCGUUGAAACUGGCGUGCUCGAGUUGGAGAGAAGUAUGCGGAAUUCGUGGUGUAGCGGUGAAAUGCAUAGAUAUCACGAAGAACCCCGAUUGCGAAGGCAGCAUACCGGCUCCACACUGACGCUGAGGCACGAAAGCGUGGGUAUCGAACAGGAUUAGAUACCCCUGUAGUC